rnacentral:rRNA from 1 species
GAUGAACGCUGGCGGCGUGCCUAAUACAUGCAAGUCGAGCGAACAGACGAGGUGCUUGCUCCUUUGACGUUAGCGGCGGACGGGUGGGUAACACGUAGGUAACCUACCUAUAAGACUGGGAUAACUUCGGGAAACCGGAGCUAAUACCGGAUAAUAUUUCGAACCGCAUGGUUCGAUAGUGAAAGAUGGCUUUGCUAUCACUUAUAGAUGGACCUGCGCCGUAUUAGCUAGUUGGUAAGGUAACGGCUUACCAAGGCAACGAUACGUAGCCGACCUGAGAGGGUGAUCGGCCACACUGGAACUGAGACACGGUCCAGACUCCUACGGGAGGCAGCAGUAGGGAAUCUUCCGCAAUGGGCGAAAGCCUGACGGAGCAACGCCGCGUGAGUGAUGAAGGUCUUCGGAUCGUAAAACUCUGUUAUUAGGGAAGAACAAACGUGUAAGUAACUGUGCACGUCUUGACGGUACCUAAUCAGAAAGCCACGGCUAACUACGUG